rnacentral:tRNA from 1 species
GGCGGAUGUAGCCAAGGUGGAUAAA